rnacentral:rRNA from 1 species
GGUGAACGCUGGCGGUAGGCCUAACACAUGCAAGUCGAACGGCAGCACAGUAAGAGCUUGCUCUUACGGGUGGCGAGUGGCGGACGGGUGAGGAAUACAUCGGAAUCUACUUUUUCGUGGGGGAUAACGUAGGGAAACUUACGCUAAUACCGCAUACGACCUACGGGUGAAAGCAGGGGAUCUUCGGACCUUGCGCGAUUGAAUGAGCCGAUGUCGGAUUAGCUAGUUGGCGGGGUAAAGGCCACCAAGGCGACGAUCCGUAGCUGGUCUGAGAGGAUGAUCAGCCACACUGGAACUGAGACACGGUCCAGACUCCUACGGGAGGCAGCAGUGGGGAAUAUUGGACAAUGGGCGCAAGCCUGAUCCAGCCAUACCGCGUGGGUGAAGAAGGCCUUCGGGUUGUAAAGCCCUUUUGUUGGGAAAGAAAAGCAGCAGGUUAAUACCCCGCUGUUCUGACGGUACCCAAAGAAUAAGCACCGGCUAACUUCGUG